GCAGGGCCGGGCCGGGCCGGGCCGGGCGCGGCGCACGCGUGAGAGCUCGGCGCCGCCGCCGCCAUGGCGGAGCGCAUCGAGCAGCGGCUGGAGGACCGCGUUCCGGAGCUGGAGCAGCUGGAGCGGGUCGGGCUGUUCACGCGGAAGGAGAUCAAGGCCGUCCUGAGGAGAGCUUCGGCUUUGGAGUACAAAAUACAGCGGAGAGCGCUUCGGAAGGAGGAUUUUAUUAAUUAUAUUCAGUAUGAAAUUAAUUUGCUGGAACUGAUCAAGAAAAGAAGAGCACGCACUGGAUAUUCGUUUAAGAAGGAUGAAAUUGAGAUCUCUAUCCUGCAUAGAAUCCAUAGCCUCUUCAACCGUGCUAUAGGAAAAUGGAAAGAAGAUGUCCAGCUUUGGCUUUCACAUGUUGCAUUUUGCAAGCAGUGGAACGCAAAACAUCAGCUUAGUAGGGUGUUUUCUUCCAUGUUGGCCAUUCAUCCCAAUAAACCAGCACUGUGGAUUAUGGCAGCAAAAUGGGAAAUGGAGACACGACUUUCGUCAGAAAAUGCGAGGCACUUGUUCCUUCGUGCUUUGCGCUUCCAUCCAGAGUGCCCAAAACUUUAUCAAGAAUAUUUCAGAAUGGAGCUGAUGAAUGCUGAAAAACAGAGGAAGGAAAAGAAGGAAUUUGAACGAGCAAAGAUGGACUUGGGGGAAUUCAGUUAUUCUGAAGAGAUUCUCAAUGGGGAAAUGGCUCGCAUAGUCUACAGGGAUGCUGCUCAGAAAAUUAAAGGUGUUGAAUUCCAUCUGGCUGUGCUUUCUAUUGCAAAGCUCUUUGAUUUUACCCAAGAUUUGCAAAAAGAAAUUCUUGAAAGUUUACAGACCACAUUUGCUGAUGAUCCUCUUACAUGGGACUACAUGGCCCGUCAUGAGCUGGAGCUGGGGUCCCUGCAGUCCACAGAACACACCACAAAACAGACGAAAGUAUCUGAAAUGACCCAGAGAGAGGAGCGGUGCUCUGCAGUCUUUGAAGAGGCUGUGAAAGCAGUCCCAACAGAGGACAUGUGGAAAUACUACAUCACUUUUUGCUUAGAGAGAUACAACAGGAAAACCAACAGUGAAGAAUUAAAACAAAAGAGGCUGGAGAGGACACUGAGUGUGUUCAACAAAGCCCAUGAGUCCAGUUUGCUGCCAGAAGCUCUCUAUAAGCAGUGGCUUCAACUAUUACUGGAGUCCACCCUCUUCGAGAAGGCUACAGAGGUGGCAGAAACUGCAACGAAGCGCUUCAGCCUGUCAGUGGAAACGUGGCAGAUGAGGCUGCAGGUGCUGAUUCAACUAAAGAGUGAUGAUGUGACCCAGUGUUUUGAAGAAGCUAUUAAGCACGUGAAAUCUAAGGGCACUUUGCCAAUAUGGACCCUCUGGGUGGAAUGGAGUGAAGGCACGAAGAGCAAGGAAGACACAGAAGCUGUCUACCAGAGAUCCUUACACGCCACGACUCAUGCUGAAUCUGUGACUAUGAAAGAAAAGUAUCUUGACUGGACCUACAGAAAUAGUGGUUAUAAGAAAGUUAGAAGAGUCUUUACCAGCCUGUGUGAAAAUCGUCCAUUUUCACUUGACUUCUUCAGGAAGAUGAUCCAAAUAGAAAAGGAACAAGAAUCCUGCAAAAUGCUUCAUCUGAGAGAAUACUAUGAACGUGCCUUGAGGGAGUUUGGUUCAACAGAUUCUGAUCUCUGGCUGGAUUAUAUAAAAGAGGAGCUAAGUCAUCCCCAAGGCAAACCAGAAAACUGCGGGAGCAUUCACUGGCGAGCCAUGAAGAUGUUGCAGGGAGAUCUGGUGGAAGAUUUUGUUUCCAAAUACACUUUAUUGCAAACUGGACACUUAUGAAAAAGCUAUAAAUAGUUGCAACAUGACAGUGUGGAUUUUUUUGUACUUUGUACAAAGGUAAUGGCUGCUGCCAUUGAGUCUGUAGGCUUUGAGGAGGAACAGCUUUCUGAUAAGAGAGAAACGAUGAUCUGGAAGCCCAGAAAAGAACGUUUGCUGAAGAAUAUACCAACUGUUCUUGAUAGUGAGUCUGAAGAAAGUGAAUUCUCUGAUACCUCUCACAAUGAAAAUGAUGUCAGUGGCUCUCCUGUCGACUGUGUUCAUACACAUUCUGACCUGGAAGACUUAGAUGGUGAAGUCUCCAGUAUGUCUGAGGCUGUAACUUUUCCAGAGCUGCAGACUGCUUCGCUGUACGAAGCAGAGGAGGACUGGGAUAAAGAAUUGGAGAACUCUGAAUGUAAUCCUUAUGAUGCUGGCGAUCUCCACUGUGGAAGCUUUCAGGAGAAUAAUCUUUUGGCCUCAUACUCAUGGCGAGAGGAUUCGUUUUACAACCCAAGCUGUCACCAUGCAGCUUGCUUUGCUUUUACGUCACCAGUUAGAAUGACUGAGACUGGUCAGUUUGAUGAUGCUGAUGAGUGAGGUUGACCCUGGUCAGAACUAAGUUUGGCUUCUGAGUUGGAUUAUGUCCUUCACCGAUUGAGUCAUGUCAAGUCCUUUGGCUUGCUUGCAGAGUUCUGUGUAAGGCCAGAAAUGCUACACCAUCUCCGAAGUUUUGCUUAGACUGCUUCUGAGCUGUUUAUAAAUUGACCAUGCUGAACCUCUGGAAACAAGAAUGCAGGUGCUAGCUGUAAGGAGUCAAUACAUUUCUGGACUUUUUGUUUCUAUUAUAUAGAUCUAUGUUGUUGCUAACGAAUUGCUUGAGAGGAAGUAUUUAAUUUCUAAACUUCAGCUUGUUUGCCAAGCUUUGCCAGUUUUGACAUGCUGAUCCAUGUGUGUCUAUGUAACUUGUGGUUUUCUUUCCUUUUAAUUUGAUGCUUCAAAUUGGUUCACAUAGCUUCAAAAACUGUUCUUCCUUCCAGCUUCUCUGUUGUAUUUCUGUGUUGCAGUUUGUGAUUCCAUAUCUAAUUCUGGUGUUUAACAAAAUCAGCCAUGACAAAUACAGACUGAGUUGUUUUGUUUUUAUUUUAUGUAUUUCAGUAUAAAGGGGUUACAAAUACGUGAUAUACAUUUUGCAAAUACACACGUGGACAUACAGUAGGGCCCGCUGCAUCCAGUAGCAAUGCUGAAUGCUUAAGACUGCCUCCCGGCAGAGGUUCCUCCACAUCAGACUUUCAUGUGUUCGGGCAUAUUGUCCUACAGUCUCACGGUUGUCUUUGUAACGUUCUCAUGUGAUAUCAGAUGUGUGAUCAUGAAGAAAAUAUCUGUGCUUACACAGUGUCUUGCAGUGUAUAAUCUCUGUGUCCUGCAAACAUGGGAAUUAAGGUUCCUGA